rnacentral:tRNA from 2 species
GAGCGCUUAGCUCAGUCGGUAGAGCAACUGACUUUUAAUCAGUAGGUCCAGGGUUCGAAUCCCUGAGCGCUCACCA